rnacentral:rRNA from 1 species
UACGUAGGUGGCAAGCGUUGUCCGGAUUUACUGGGCGUAAAGAGCGCGCAGGCGGUCGUGCAAGUCGCGUGUGAAAGCCCCCGGCUCAACUGGGGAGGGUCACGCGAUACUGCUCGACUCGAAGGCAGGAGAGGGAAGUGGAAUUCCCGGUGUAGUGGUGAAAUGCGUAGAUAUUCGGAAGAACACCAGUGGCGAAGGCGGGCAUCCUGGACCGACAUUGACGCUGAUGAGCGAAAGCUAGGGGAGCAAACGGG